rnacentral:rRNA from 1 species
CAAAACUGUCUCUUACGGACUAGCCAAUGAAAUUGAUCCUUCAGUACAAAAGCUGGAAUUAGCCCAUAAGACGAGNAGACCCUGUGGAGCUUCAAAACCAAAAUCACCAAACAUGCUUCAUGGGUUUUUAGUUGGGGCGACUUUGGAGCAAAAAAAACCCUCCAAACAUAAAUYUAUUUAUUAAGACUAACACACCAAAAAAAUAUUAUAGACCCAGCAGUAUYUAUUUACUGUCUGACCAAUGAACCAAGUUACCCCAGGGAUAACAGCGCCAUCCUCUUCUAGAGUCCUUAUCGACAAGAGGGUUUACGACCUCGAUGUUGGAUCAGGACACC